GACGAACGCUGGCGGCGUGCUUAACACAUGCAAGUCGAACGGAGUGGCGAACGGGUGAGUAACACGUGUGUGACCUGCCCUCCACUUCGGGGUAAGCCUGGGAAACUGGGUCUAAUACCGGAGAGUGUGGUAUGGGCCCGCGGCCUAUCGGCUGGUUGGGGGGGUAAUGGCCUACCAGGGCGGCGACGGGUAGCCGGCCUGAGAGGGUGGACGGCCACAUUGGGACUGAGACACGGCCCAGACUCCUACGGGGGGCAGCAGGCGCGAGUCGUGCACAAUGGGCGGAAGCCUGAUGCAGGGGCGCUGCGGGGGGGAUGACCGCCUUCGGGUUGGGAACUCCUUUCACCAUCGACGCGGUAGAUGGAGAAGAAGCACCGGCUAACUACGUGCCAGCAGCCGCGGUAAUUC
rnacentral:rRNA from 1 species